rnacentral:lncRNA from 1 species
UUUUCUUCUAACGAUCAAAAAAUAAUUCUCAAAAUUCCUACCAAACGGGCCCUAAUAGGGGCAAAGGGGGUAUAUGUCCUGCUAUAAGAAUACGUAUUUCGCAGCUCCCCACACUCCCGUUUUACUGAUUUUGCCCUUUUCGCUUCCAAGUAGCCGGCCAUGGUUUCUCCGUGAGAUCUUUCGCCGGAGGUGGAUUUUCCUGGUCUCAGUUCAUAAUGAGUGCUGGUGCUCCAUGAUUUCUCUCCAUUUCUCUGCGGCUCGUUCGAUCGUUUUUCACUGAGGUGAGAGUGUUCAAGUUUUUCUAUAUGUACUUUCUUUAUACAAUAAACUAGUAUUCAGAUGUUUAAUUGAUUUUUGGGCGUUUAAUUUGAAUGCAUGUGUCUGCGCUUGUCUGUGACCUUUUUGACUCGGUCGUACCGAGUCGACUCGGGUAAGCAAAAGGAACGUUCAUCUUUUUC